AUGCAAGUCGAACGGAAAGGCCCUUCGGGGUACUCGAGUGGCGAACGGGUGAGUAACACGUGGGUGAUCUGCCCUGCACUUUGGGAUAAGCCUGGGAAACUGGGUCUAAUACCGAAUAGGACCGCAUGCUUCAUGGUGUGUGGUGGAAAGCUUUUGCGGUGUGGGAUGGGCCCGCGGCCUAUCAGCUUGUUGGUGAGGUAAUGGCUUACCAAGGCGACGACGGGUAGCCGGCCUGAGAGGGUGACCGGCCACACUGGGACUGAGAUACGGCCCAGACUCCUACGGGAGGCAGCAGUGGGGAAUAUUGCACAAUGGGCGCAAGCCUGAUGCAGCGACGCCGCGUGAGGGAUGACGGCCUUCGGGUUGUAAACCUCUUUCGCCAGGGACGAAGCGCAAGUGACGGUACCUGGAGAAGAAGGACCGGCCAACUACGUGCCAGCAGCCGCGGUAAUACGUAGGGUCCGAGCGUUGUCCGGAAUUACUGGGCGUAAAGAGCUCGUAGGUGGUUUGUCGCGUUGUUCGUGAAAACUCACAGCUUAACUGUGGGCGUGCGGGCGAUACGGGCAGACUUGAGUACUGCAGGGGAGACUGGAAUUCCUGGUGUAGCGGUGGAAUGCGCAGAUAUCAGGAGGAACACCGGUGGCGAAGGCGGGUCUCUGGGCAGUAACUGACGCUGAGGAGCGAAAGCGUGGGGAGCGAACAGGAUUAGAUACCCUGGUAGUCCACGCCGUAAACGGUGGGUACUAGGUGUGGGUUUCCUUCCUUGGGAUCCGUGCCGUAGCUAACGCAUUAAGUACCCCGCCUGGGGAGUACGGCCGCAAGGCUAAAACUCAAAGAAAUUGACGGGGGCCCGCACAAGCGGCGGAGCAUGUGGAUUAAUUCGAUGCAACGCGAAGAACCUUACCUGGGUUUGACAUGCACAGGACGCCGGCAGAGAUGUCGGUUCCCUUGUGGCCUGUGUGCAGGUGGUGCAUGGCUGUCGUCAGCUCGUGUCGUGAGAUGUUGGGUUAAGUCCCGCAACGAGCGCAACCCUUGUCUCAUGUUGCCAGCACGUUAUGGUGGGGACUCGUGAGAGACUGCCGGGGUCAACUCGGAGGAAGGUGGGGAUGACGUCAAGUCAUCAUGCCCCUUAUGUCCAGGGCUUCACACAUGCUACAAUGGCCGGUACAAAGGGCUGCGAUGCCGUGAGGUGGAGCGAAUCCUUUCAAAGCCGGUCUCAGUUCGGAUCGGGGUCUGCAACUCGACCCCGUGAAGUCGGAGUCGCUAGUAAUCGCAGAUCAGCAACGCUGCGGUGAAUACGUUCCCGGGCCUUGUACACACCGCCCGUCACGUCAUGAAAGUCGGUAACACCCGAAGCCGGUGGC
rnacentral:rRNA from 1 species